rnacentral:rRNA from 1 species
AUUGAACGCUGGCGGCAGGCCUAACACAUGCAAGUCGAACGGUAACAGGAAGAAGCUUGCUUCUUUGCUGACGAGUGGCGGACGGGUGAGUAAUGUCUGGGAAACUGCCUGAUGGAGGGGGAUAACUACUGGAAACGGUAGCUAAUACCGCAUAACGUCGCAAGACCAAAGAGGUGGACCUUCGGGCCUCUUGCCAUCGGAUGCGCCCAGAUGGGAUUAGCUAGUAGGUGGGGUAACGGCUCACCUAGGCGACGAUCCCUAGCUGGUCUGAGAGGAUGACCAGCCACACUGGAACUGAGACACGGUCCAGACUCCUACGGGAGGCAGCAGUGGGGAAUAUUGCACAAUGGGCGCAAGCCUGAUGCAGCCAUGCCGCGUGUAUGAAGAAGGCCUUCGGGUUGUAAAGUACUUUCAGCGGGGAGGAAGGGAGUAAAGUUAAUACCUUUGCUCAUUGACGUUACCCGCAGAAGAAGCACCGGCUAACUCCGUG